rnacentral:rRNA from 1 species
GACAGAGGAUGCAAGCGUUAUCCGGAAUGAUUGGGCGUAAAGCGUCUGUAGGUGGCUUUUUAAGUCCGCCGUCAAAUCCCAGGGCUCAACCCUGGACAGGCGGUGGAAACUACCAAGCUGGAGUACGGUAGGGGCAGAGGGAAUUUCCGGUGGAGCGGUGAAAUGCGUAGAUAUCGCUUGGAACGCCAACGGUGAAAACAGGUUGCUGGGGGUGUGCUGACGCUGAGACACGAAAGCCAGGGGAGCGAACGGG